rnacentral:lncRNA from 1 species
UGGAGACUGUAUACUUGUGUUAUACAUAUGUUUUGACAUAUGGUUUGAAUUGAUGGCUUAUGACAAUGUGAUGGCAAGCAUGGCUGGAUUUGUGUUUGUGUGGAAUAUAUGAACUGUUUUGCUUUGCCUUGACAGGCUGGUAAUAUUAUAUUAGCCAUGUCAUGCUGUCAGAAAUUUUAUUGAAUUGGUGGUUAUUUGAUUAGCUUACUGCAGUGG